GCUCUAUGGGUCCCUAUGGGUCUCUAUGGGGAGCCAUGGGGCUGCCCCACAGCAGGUGUCAGGCAGGAAACAGGAAGUGUUGGGGGGAAGGGCCUCAUUGCACCAUGUGUGGGGCAGAGCUGCUGCCAUGCGGCGCCCGCGACGUCCCCUUCGCUGUUCCCAUUGGUGUCCUGCGGCGCCGGCCCCACAGCGAGCCCCAUAGCGGGGUGCCUGGCGUCCGGCUUCACCCCAUUGCCCGUGACCAUGACCUGGACCAUGGCCGGGGGGGGACCCCCAUCCGUGCCCCCCCCCUCGUACCCGGCCUCUAGGCCCACCGAGGGGCGCUAUAGGCAGGCGAGCGCCGUGGCGGUGCCUGUGGGGCAGAGGGAGGCCACGUGCGCCGUGGGGCACCGGGCCACGGGGUUCAGCGGCAGCGUGGUCGUCAAUGUGUCCCCCCCCUCCCGCUCUCUCCCCCCCCACCUCGAGGUCCUCCACUCCUGCUCCGGGGGCUCCGUCCACCUCCUCUGCUCGGCCUCGGGCUUCUCCCCUCUCCCCCUGCGCCUCCAAUGGCUCCUGGACUCGGUGCCCGUGGACCCGGCCCCGCUCCUCAUCGAGGGCCCCAACGCGGACGGGACCUUCCGGGCCAGCGCCCGCCUCAACCUCACCAUGGACCAAUGGCAGGAGAAGACCGUGGCGUGCGGCGUCACCCACCCGGGCACCAGCACCAGCCUCGAGGUGCCCGCCAGCAAAUGCUUCAGCACCCCUCCGGACUCGAGCGCCAUCCAAGUCUUCGUCCUGCCCCCGUCCCCAUUGGACCUUUACGUGUCCCAGAGCCCCCGGCUCCGCUGCGUGGCCACCAGUUUACCCAGUGACGAGGGCCUGGAGAUCACCUGGAGCAAGGACCAAGGCCGGACCCUGAGCUCCAACCUCCUCCAAGUCAAGGCCCAGUUCAACGGCACCUUCACGGCCACCAGAGAGGUCCUGGUGUCCACCAGCGACUGGGAGAACGGGAUCGCCUUCAACUGCAAGGUCCAGCACAGGGACCUGCCCUCUCCCAUCAGCCGCAGCAUCGCCAAGAAGCCAGGCAAGCGCUUGACCCCCAGCGUCUACCUGUUCGCCCCUCCUUUGGAGGAGCUGAGCAGCUCCCGCCCCACGUUGAGCUUGACGUGCCUGGUGCGAGGCUUCUACCCCGAGGCCAUCUCGGUGGAGUGGCAGAAGAACCAGGACCCGGUGGAGGCGUCGAGCUUCGAGACGACGCCGGCCAUGAAGGAGAAGAUGGGAGACACCUCCUUCUUCCUGUACAGCCGAUUGGAGGUGAAGAGGGAGGAGUGGAGCAAGGGGACGACCUUCGUGUGCAUGGUGGUGCACGAGGGGCUGCCCAUGCGGUUCAUCCAGCGCAGCAUCAACAGGAGCCCCGAGAUGCUCCUCCCUGAGGACCUUUGCCAUGGUGACCCCGAUGUGGCCAAUGGGCCCUGGGACACCGUCGCUGUCUUCAUCACCCUCUUCCUCCUCAGCGUCUGCUACAGCGCCACCGUCACCCUCUGCAAGGUCAAGUGGGUCCUGGCCACCCUCCUCCACCUCAAGCCAAGCCCCCCGCCCCACUACAAGAACGUCAUGAACCACGCGGUCUAAAGCGGGGGGGUCUCCCAUUGGCUGCUGGAGACGAAGCCACCAGGAGACCCAAUGGGAGGGG